UACGUAGGUGGCAAGCGUUGUCCGGAAUUACUGGGUGUAAAGGGCGUGUAGGCGGGUGUUUAAGUCAGAUGUGAAAUCCUGAGGCUCAACCUCAGAGCUGCAUCUGAAACUGGACAUCUUGAGUGCUGGAGAGGAAAGCGGAAUUCCUAGUGUAGCGGUGAAAUGCGUAGAUAUUAGGAGGAACACCAGUGGCGAAGGCGGCUUUCUGGACAGUAACUGACGCUGAGGCGCGAAAGCGUGGGGAGCAAACAGG
rnacentral:rRNA from 1 species